rfam:Heligmosomoides polygyrus genome assembly, scaffold: HPBE_scaffold0003462
GCGAUGGUGGUGUAAUGGCGAAGAGCAUUCCCACCCGAUCAGCAGGAGUUGCGGGUUCGAGUCCCGCCCGGCGCU